rnacentral:rRNA from 1 species
ACUAACGAGGAUUCCCCUAGUAACUGCGAGUGAAGCGGGAAAAGCUCAAAUUUAAAAUCUGGCGGUCUUUGGCCGUCCGAGUUGUAAUUUAGAGAAGCGUCUUCCGCGCCGGACCGUGCACAAGUCUCCUGGAAUGGAGCGUCAUAGAGGGUGAGAAUCCCGUCUUUGGCAUGGAGCCCCCGGUGCUUCUGUGAUGCGCUCUCGAAGAGUCGAGUUGUUUGGGAAUGCAGCUCAAAAUGGGUGGUGAACUCCAUCUAAAGCUAAAUAUUGGCGAGAGACCGAUAGCGAACAAGUACCGUGAGGGAAAGAUGAAAAGCACUUUGGAAAGAGAGUGAAACAGUACGUGAAAUUGUUGAAAGGGAAACGCUUGGAGUCAGUCGCGUUGGCCGAGACUCAGCCUUGCCCUCGGCUUGGCGUACUUCUCAGCUAACGGGCCAGCAUCGAUUUCGCCCCUCAGAAUAAUGGCAAGGGAAAGGUGGCACCUUUGCGGGUGUGUUAUAGUCUCCUGUCGCAUGUGAGGGGUGGGAUCGAGGAACUCAGCACGCGCCUCUCGGCGUCGGGGCUUCGGCCCACGUUACGUGCUUAGGAUGUUGGCGUAAUGGCUCUAAACGACCCGUCUUGAAACACGGACCAAGGAGUCUAACAUGCCCGCGAGUGUUCGGGUGGAAAACCCGUGCGCGAAAUGAAAGUGAAAGUUGGGACCUCCGUCGUGGAGGGCACCGACGCCCGGACCAGACCUUCUGUGACGGAUCUGCGGUAGAGCGUGCAUGUUGGGACCCGAAAGAUGGUGAACUAUGCCUGAAUAGGGUGAAGCCAGAGGAAACUCUGGUGGAGGCUCGUAGCGAUUCUGACGUGCAAAUCGAUCGUCAAAUUUGGGUAUAGGGGCGAAAGACUAAUCGAC